UACGUAGGCAGCAAGCGUUGUUCGGAUUUACUGGGCGUAAAGGGUGUGUAGGCGGUUCUUUAAGUUUGCUGUGAAAUCUCCCGGCUUAACCGGGAGGGUGCGGUGAAUACUGAGGGACUAGAGUACGGGAGAGGAAAGUGGAAUUCCUGGUGUAGCGGUGAAAUGCGUAGAUAUCAGGAGGAACACCGGUGGUGUAGACGGCUUUCUGGACCGUAACUGACGCUGAGACACGAAAGCGUGGGUAGCAAACAGG
rnacentral:rRNA from 1 species